rnacentral:rRNA from 1 species
UAAGGAAUAUUGGACAAUGGAGGCAACUCUGAUCCAGCCAUGCCGCGUGAAGGAAUAAGGCCCUAUGGGUUGUAAACUUCUUUUAGACGGGACAAAACCCCUUUACGUGUAAAGGGUUGAUGGUACUGUCAGAAUAAGCAUCGGAUAACUUCGUGCCAGCAGCCGCGGUAAUACGAAGGAUGCAAGCGUUCUCCGGAAUUAUUGGGUUUAAAGGGUGCGUAGGCGGACUAAUAAGUCAGUGGUGAAAGCCUGCAGCUUAACUGCAGAAUUGCCAUUGAUACUGUUAGUCUUGAGUACAGUUGAGGUAGGCGGAAUGUGUCAUGUAGCGGUGAAAUGCUUAGAUAUGACACAGAACACCGAUUGCGAAGGCAGCUUGCUAAGCUGUAACUGACGCUGAGGCACGAAAGCGUGGGGAGCAAACA